CUGGCGACCGGCGCACGGGUGAGUAACACGUAUCCAACCUGCCGAUAACUCGGGGAUAGCCUUUCGAAAGAAAGAUUAAUACCCGAUGGCAUAAUUAGACCGCAUGGUCUUAUUAUUAAAGAAUUUCGGUUAUCGAUGGGGAUGCGUUCCAUUAGGCAGUUGGUGAGGUAGCGGCUCACCAAACCUUCGAUGGAUAGGGGUUCUGAGAGGAAGGUCCCCCACAUUGGAACUGAGACACGGUCCAA
rnacentral:rRNA from 1 species